GGAUGAACGCUGGCGGCGUGCCUAAUACAUGCAAGUCGAGCGAACGGACGAGAAGCUUGCUUCUCUGAUGUUAGCGGCGGACGGGUGAGUAACACGUGGAUAACCUACCUAUACGACUGGGAUAACUUCGGGAAACCGGAGCUAAUACCGGAUAAUAUUUUGAACCGCAUGGUUCAAAAGUGAAAGACGGUCUUGCUGUCACUUAUAGAUGGAUCCGCGCUGCAUUAGCUAGUUGGUAAGGUAACGGCUUACCAAGGCAACGAUGCAUAGCCGACCUGAGAGGGUGAUCGGCCACACUGGAACUGAGACACGGUCCAGACUCCUACGGGAGGCAGCAGUAGGGAAUCUUCCGCAAUGGGCGAAAGCCUGACGGAGCAACGCCGCGUGAGUGAUGAAGGUCUUCGGAUCGUAAAACUCUGUUAUUAGGGAAGAACAUAUGUGUAAGUAACUGUGCACAUCUUGACGGUACCUAAUCAGAAAGCCACGGCUAACUACGUG
rnacentral:rRNA from 1 species